AUUGAACGCUGGCGGCAUGCCUAACACAUGCAAGUCGAACGUGUGGCGGACGGGUGUGUAAUGUCUGGGACACUGCCUGCUGGAGGGGGAUAACUUCUGGAAACGGUAGCUAAUACCGCAUACCAUCAGAUGUGCCCUGAUGGGCUUAGCUAGUUGGUGGGGUAACGGCGCACCAAGGCGACGAUCCCUAGCUGGUCUGAGAGGAUGACCGGGCACACUGGAACUGAGACACGGUGCAGAGUCCGACGGGAGGAAGCAGUGGGGAAGAUGGCACAAUGGGCGAAAGGGUGAUGCAGCCAUGCCGCGAGUAUGAAGAAGGCCUUCGGGUUGUAAAGUAGUUUCAGCGGGGAGGCGGUACCCGCAGAAGAAGCACCGGCUAACUCCGUGCCAGCAGCCGCGGUAAUAC
rnacentral:rRNA from 1 species